rnacentral:rRNA from 1 species
UAAUUUAAAAAGUUUUAACCUGCCCACUGAUUGGAACAAAAAUUAAAUGGCCGCGGUAUAUUGACCGUGCAAAGGUAGCAUAAUCGUUAGUUUUUUAAUUGGAAUCUUGUAUGAAUGGUUGGACAAAAGAAAAUCUGUCUUUAUAUUAUUAAUUGAAUUUAACUUUUAAGUGAAAAGGCUUAAAUGGAUUAAAGUGACGAUAAGACCCUAUAAAGCUUUAUAUAGAUAUAUUAUUUAAUUAAAUUUUUAAUAAAAAUUUAGUAGUAAAAUUUAUUUUAUUGGGGCGAUAAGAGUAAAAUUUUUAUUAACUGCUUUAAGUUUUGAAUACAUUUAUGUUUGAUUAAAAUUUUAAAUGAUCCUAAAUAAAGAUUAAAAGUUUAAGUUACUUUAGGGAUAACAGCGUUAUUUUUUUUGAGAGUACUUAUCGAAAAAAAAGUUUGCGACCUCGAUGUUGAAUUAAAAUUUCUUUAUAAUUGCAGAAGUUAUAAAAGUAGGUCUGUUCGACCUUUAAAAUUUUACAUGAUCUGAGUCCCAACCCCGGAA